AGGAGGCAGCAGAGACUCUGCUCUCCUCCUUUGGAUUAAUUCUGAUAUAAUAACUGUUGGUUUAUUUAUCGGUGGAGCAGCAGAACAUUUUCCACAGACAGUUUUCCUGCCCGUUGGCUUGUUUUAACCAGUUUUCUACCUUCGGCUGAUUCUACCAGCAGACACUGAAAGGACUCUGAUAGUUCAAGUGAAAGUAGCAGUUCCUCCUUAAGGUCAGAGAUUGCAGCAUCUGAGGGCCUCUUCAAAAGAAGAUGUAGUUGAUGAAGACGUUCUGGAGCAGGGCCAGAAAGACCACGACCAAGCAGCCUUGAGAUCUUAGGCAGCGUCUCCUUCAGGUCCCUCUCUAUCUCCCCACACAUCCACCAACCACUGGAACACAUCUCCAAAGUUCUGCCGGACCAGCUCAGCUUCCCCUCAGAAGAAGUGCUGCCACCUGCCAGAUGAAGGAGCCUUUUGAGAGGCAGCUGGCAUCGUGAUUGGACUGUACUUUGGUCUGUUCCAAUCCAGCUUCAGCUCCAGAGACGGCAGGCGGGACGAGUCAACGGAGGCUGGGUGGACGAAGACAUGCAGCUGAGUACAAUCCAGAAAACAACAGAGGAGGAGUGCAGCGGCCCAUUAUAGCCUUUGACCAAAGAACUACAGACUCUUCACAACCUGCUCAAACUCUUGGUACAGGACCUCACCACACGGAUCAAGAAGGUUUCCUUCUCCUCAUUUCUACUCUGAAGCUCACCUUCUCCUGCUCAAACUGCUGACAAAUGUUUCUACUGCUCUAAAGUCUGCUCUCCAGAACUUCCUAAAAACUCUCAAAGGCUCUUCUGCUGCAGGUUGCUUUGUAGAACUGUUACAGAAAACCUCACUAAAACACAUGGAGGGGCCUCAAGAUAGUCGUCCAAAUUAAACCGUACAAAAACCAAACUAGCACAACCCAAACACUAAAGUCUCCUGCAGCCUACCAGAGAACCUCUGAGAACAGAGAAUCAGGACAGGAACUCUUACCUUCUGGACAACCAACGCUGGUUCACAAA
ensembl:lncRNA